CAGCCGCCACGGGAAUACGAAGGGGGCUAGCGUUGUUCGGAUUUACCGGGCGUAAAGGGCGCGUAGGCGGACUGAUAAGUCAGGGGUGAAAUCCCAAGGCUCAACCUUGGAACUGCCUUUGAUACUGUUUGUCUUGAGUUCGAGAGAGGUAAGUGGAACUGCGAGUGUAGAGGUGAAAUUCGUAGAUAUUCGCAAGAACACCAGUGGCGAAGGCGGCUUACUGGCUCGAAACUGACGCUGAGGCGCGAAAGCGUGGGGAGCAAACAGGAUUAGAUACCCCUGUAGUCCCUGUCUCUUAUAC
rnacentral:rRNA from 1 species